AUACGAAGGGUGCAAGCGUUAAUCGGAAUCACUGGGCGUAAAGCGCGCGCAGGCGGUCUUUUAAGUUGGAUGUGAAAGCCUACGGCUCAACCGUAGAACUGCAUCCAAAACUAUUAGACUAGAGUGUGGGAGAGGAAGAUGGAAUUAGUUGUGUAGGGGUAAAAUCCGUAGAGAUAACUAGGAAUACCAAAAGCGAAGGCAAUCUUCUGGAACACUACUGACGCUGAGGCGCGAAAGCGUGGGGAGCUAACAGGAUUAGAAACCCUAGUAGUCC
rnacentral:rRNA from 1 species